GCCCCCUUGGCCCAGUGGUAAGGCGUGUCACUCGUAAAAAGAAUCCGUGUCUUUCCAUUGCGAUAUGACAAGAUCAGUUGUUCGAAUCAGCUAGGGGGCA